AACUCAAGGGAAUUGACGGGGGCCCGCACAAGCGGUGGAGCAUGUGGUUCAAUUCGACGCAACGCGAAGAACCUUACCUGGGCUAGACAACGGUGGACCGUCCUAGAAAUAGGAUUUUCCCUUCGGGGACUGCCGGUUCAGGUGCUGCAUGGCUGUCGUCAGCUCGUGCCGUGAGGUGUUGGGUUAAGUCCCGCAACGAGCGCAACCCUUGUCCUUAGUUGCCACCAUUCAGUUGGGCACUCUAGGGAGACUGCCGGCGUUAAGCCGGAGGAAGGUGGGGACGACGUCAAGUCAUCAUGGCCCUUAUGUCCAGGGCCACACACGUGCUACAAUGGGCGGUACAAAGGGUCGCAAACCCGCGAGGGGGAGCCAAUCCCAAAAAGCCGCUCUCAGUUCGGAUUGGAGUCUGCAACUCGACUCCAUGAAGUUGGAAUCGCUAGUAAUCGCGGAUCAGCACGCCGCGGUGAAUACGUUCCCGGGCCUUGUACUCACCGCCCGUC
rnacentral:rRNA from 1 species